rnacentral:lncRNA from 1 species
AUGCCAAAAAGAUGGAAUGAUUUUCAAAAGGCUGUACUGCCAGUAAAUCUCAGAGUUAGAACUGGAAUUCAAACAGGGAAGAAGACACUUUGUUCUAAACAAACAAAUACAGAGAGACAAGUGAGCACAUGUGAGAAAAGCAAAGAAAGAAGCUGCUUUUCAGGGACAGGGAGUGGGGCAGAUGCAUGGGUUCGGGGGAGCAGCUAAGAGGAGCAGAGACAAUGUCACAUGCAGAGACUUCGUCACCUGAGACACAGUUUCCCAGGGGUGCCCAGGU